GGGUUGAUCCUGCCGGACCCGACUGCUAUCGGAUUGAGAUUUAGCCAUGCGAGUCGAACGUCCCCCUGUUGCGGGGGGCGUGGCGUACGGCUCAGUAACACGUAGUCAACCUGCCCUGGAGACAUGGACAACCCCGGGAAACUGGGAUUAAUCCGUGAUAGGUCAUCUCAUCUGGAAGGAGAGAUGGCUUAAAGGGGUACGCGGGCUUCUUCUGCGUAUUCGCUCCAGGAUGGGACUGCGACCGAUCAGGCUGUUGGCGGGGUAAUGGCCCACCAAACCUGUAACCGGUACGGGCCUUGAGAGAGGUGGCCCGGAGAUGGACACUGAGAGAAGGGUCCAGGUCCUACGGGGCGCAGCAGGCGCGAAACCUUCGCAAUGCGCGAAAGCGUGACGAGGUUAAUCCGAGUGGCCCCCGCUGAGGGGGUCUUUUGUCAGCUGUAAAUAGGCAGGCGAAUAAGGGGAGGGCAAGCCUGGUGUCAGCCGCCGCGGUAAUACCAGCUCCUCGAGUGGUCGGGGCGAUUAUUGGGCCUAAAGCAUCCGUAGCCGGUUCCGUAGGUCCUCUGUUAAAUCCAACCGCUCAACGGUUGACCUGCAGAGGAUACCGCGGGACUAGGAGGCGGGAGAGGCGGACGGUACUCCGCGUGUAGGGGUAAAAUCCUUUGAUCCGCGGAAGACCACCAGUGGCGAAGGCGGUCCGCCAGAACGUGCUCGACGGUGAGGGAUGAAAGCUGGGGGAGCGAACCGGAUUAGAUACCCGGGUAGUCCCAGCCGUAAACGAUGCUAGCUAGAUGAUUCAUUCGCAAGUCGCGAAUGAAGUGUCGCAGGGAAGCCGUUAAGCUAGCCGCCUGGGGAGUACGGUCGCAAGACUGAAACUUAAAGGAAUCGGCGGGGGAGCACCACAAGGGGUGAAGCCUGCGGUUCAAUUGGAUUCAACGCCGGG
rnacentral:rRNA from 1 species